UGGGGUGUUUUAUUGAGUAAGUUUCAGAUUUAUAGGGCAAAGAAUAUGGCUUGGGACUAGUUGCUUCAUCUUCUAUUGUCUUGAAUGGUUGAUGUUGAAUAAUUAAAUUUGAAAGUUGCAAAAGAGGGGAAACUUAGGAGACUGGAAUGUGGUUUUUAUUAAUAGGGGGCAAAGUUGCAAUUGAUGCAAGUUAGGAGGUCAAAAGUGCAUGUAAGCCUAGAGAUUAUUAAGGCGGCGCCACGGAUAGUGCGCGCCUGGGACCCUAGGACUUCUUUUAAGGGUCCUAAAUCCUUCUUGACGGGUCUUUAAACCUUUUUAGAGGUCCUUCAAGUCCUUAGGAAUAUUAUGACGGUCCAAUAUAUAUUAAUGGAAAAAUGCUUAAUAGCAGUUUUG
rnacentral:lncRNA from 1 species